rnacentral:lncRNA from 1 species
CACCAGGCUGCAGGGUGGAGAAUCCACCCUUGGAGGAGGAGGGAGGAAGUGCAGGGACAGAGGGACCAGCCCGAUCUAAGUCUGGAUGUGGAAGAGAGGGCAGGGGUCCCAGGCCCAGGACUUGCCUCUCCUGGUGCCCACGCGGGACCAAGUCCUUUCCCGGCUGGGUGGGGUCGGGCCUCAUAAUGUGUCUGUGUGCUCGACCACCACGGGAAAGGUUAUUUCUUAGGGCUGUGAUGUAGCUCAGGGUAGAGCCCUUGCCUAGCAUGUGCAAGGCCCGGGGUUCAAUGGCCAGCACUGAAAAGAAAAGAAGGAUACUCAUUGGGCACCUGCUGUUUGCUAGGCUGCGAGCUGUCAUUCACCGCAGGAAAAGGUGGCCAGAACCUAUUCGGCUCCAGCCCAUUCAGGGUCCUGGCCGCUCCACAGAGACCCCAGCUUGGCUUGGGAAAGAGCGAGGAGCAUCAGCGCCCCCCUGGUGGACACCGGCUUGGAAGAUACCGGUGGUCUGGACUUGAAGGAUGGGGGCGCCAGCAGAUGUCCCAGGUCUAUGAACUGUGGACCGUGCACAGAAUUGUGCGAUCAUCACUACAAUCAAGACAGACAACAUCUCCAUCGAAUCUACGGGUCCUGUGCCCCUUGACCCUUCCAGAGCCACCAGGCCACCCCCACCGCACACGCAAGGAAGCCAGGCAAAGGCACAGAGAGGUUAAGGGCUCUGUCCCAGACCACACAGCCGUCAGGAGCACGGCCGGCGCUCAGACCAGGAGUCAACCGGCCACUAACUGUGACUCGACCUCUCUGAACCUCUGUUUCUCGAUCCACGGAAGGGGACAACAGCGCAAGAGCGCGCAGGGCUCCUGGGGAGCAGCGCCGGCCCCCAGGGUCGCGGCCGCCCGGGUCCUCGCCUUCCCCUCCCUCUGCGCCACCGCCACCUCCCUGCAGAGCCGCAGCGAAGCUUCCGCAGCCGCUCGGGGUUCCCUGGGUACCCAGAGGCG